GGAGGGUCGCGCGGACGGGCGCCUCGCCAACCCGGUCAGGUCCGGAAGGAAGCAGCCGUAACGAGUUUCCGUCCCGGGUCGCGUUGGCUCUCCACC
rnacentral:SRP_RNA from 1 species